rnacentral:rRNA from 1 species
GUACGUAGGGGGCUAGCGGUUGUCCGGAUUUAUUGGGCGUAAAGAGCGUGUAGGCGGCCAGGUAGGUCUGCUGUGAAAACGUCGAGGCUCAACCUCGAGGACGUCGGCGGAAACCAUCUGGCUAGAGUCCGGAAGAGGAGAGUGGAAUUCCUGGUGGUAGCGGUGAAAUGCGCAGAUAUCAGGAAGAACACCCGUGGCGGAAGGCGGCUCUCUGGGACGGUACUGACGCUGAGACGCGAAAGCGUGGGGAGCGAACAGG